CCUACGGGAGGCAGCAGUGAGGAAUAUUGGUCAAUGGACGCAAGUCUGAACCAGCCAUGCCGCGUGCAGGAAGACGGCUCUAUGAGUUGUAAACUGCUUUUGUACGAGGGUAAACGCAGAUACGUGUAUCUGUCUGAAAGUAACGUACGAAUAAGGAUCGGCUAACUCCGUGCCAGCAGCCGCGGUAAUACGGAGGAUUCAAGCGUUUUCCGGAUUUAUUGGGGUUAAAGGGUGAGUAGGCGGUAGGAUAAGUUAGACGUGAAAUUCCGAGGCUUAACUUCGGAAUUGCCGCUGAUACUGUUCGGCUAGAGAGUAGUAGCGGUAGGCGGAAUGUAUGGUGUAGCGGUGAAAUGCUUAGAGAUCAUACAGAACACCGAUUGCGAAGGCAGCUUACCAAGCUACUACUGACGUUGAGGCACGAAAGCGUGGGGAGCAAACAGGAUUAGAUACCCCUGUAGUC
rnacentral:rRNA from 1 species